rnacentral:rRNA from 1 species
UACGUAGGGGGCUAGCGUUGUCCGGAAUCAUUGGGCGUAAAGCGCGUGUAGGCGGCCCGGUAAGUCCGCUGUGAAAGUCGGGGGCUCAACCCUCGGGUGCCGGUGGAUACUGUCGGGCUAGAGUACGGGAAGAGGCGAGUGGAAUUCCUGGUGUAGCGGUGAAAUGCGCAGAUAGUCAAGGAGGAACACCAAUUGCAAGGCAGCUCGCUGGGACGUUACUGACGCUGAGACGCGAAAGCGUGGGGAGCAAACAGG